UCUCGAUGGCAUUUCCAGUGGACCAUUCUGCCCUCCACCGUGGACUCCGUGCAGGGAGACAGAGGAGUAGGGGGCUGAGA